ACGGGAGGCAGCAGUGGGGAAUAUUGCACAAUGGGGGAAACCCUGAUGCAGCGACGCCGCGUGAGUGAAGAAGUAUUUCGGUAUGUAAAGCUCUAUCAGCAGGGAAGAAAAUGACGGUACCUGACUAAGAAGCCCCGGCUAACUACGUGCCAGCAGCCGCGGUAAUACGUAGGAUGCAAGCGUUAUCCGGAAUGACUGGGCGUAAAGGGUGCGUAGGUGGUUUGCCAAGUUGGUAGCGUAAUUCCAGGGCUUAACUUUGGAACUACUACCAAAACUGGUAGACUUGAGUGUGGUAGGGGUAUGUGGAAUUCCUAGUGUAGCGGUGGAAUGCGUAGAUAUUAGGAGGAACACCGGAGGCGAAAGCGACAUACUGGGCCAUAACUGACACUGAGGCACGAAAGCGUGGGGAGCAAACAGGAUUAGAUACCCUGGUA
rnacentral:rRNA from 1 species